GUCCGUUUGGUGUAAAGGUAACACACCUCCUGCCUACGGGUGGGGAGGAGCUUCAGGUUCGAGUCCUGCGGCGGGCA